GACCCACCAGCAGUCCAGAAACUCAGAGCAUCUGACUGUGGAGGUGGGUUUAUUGUACAGAGCUGAAUGACGAGGCUGGCUAACCUUGGCAGGACUUCUCGGUAAGGGAGUAGUGACAGGGUACUGGGAGGAGGAAGCUGCAGUAGAUGCUUUCUGCACAUGGUGCCAACACUUGGCAUCGUUGAUGCUCCUGCCAACAACACACAUUCUCUUGGGACCUCAUCCGGUUCCACAAUUACACCAUGGGAUGUAACAGCGUGUGCCACCGGGGAAGCCGAAGAAGAGAAAACAAGCACAGAAUAACUCAAAAGCCCUCAAAAAGAACACCAAACAAUCAAGAAAAAAAAAAACCUCUCUGGAGAGAAAUCAGAACGUGGUGUAAUGCAGCCAUUACCAGAACCGAGAUGUGUAUAAGCCAAAUCUAGAGUAGCAGUCUCGGGAAUGUUCCAGAACCGAGUAUGAGAAGCUCGGGAGAGGAUCUGAACUGAGCCUCCUCAUCCUACAAUCUGGUCUGUUUCUAGUUCCUUUGUGAGUGAUCCAUGAAGUGGAUCCUACAGUGAUUCUGAGGGAGCGAAGAGUGUUGGAUUUCCGUUGGGAAGAGUUCUGGUUCCAUAGAUACCACUCGAAUCUGUAGAAAAGAAAGGCGUGUGCAUGCGUUGUUGACAGAGGAGAACUGGGAAGUCUGAACAGAUCAAGGAACGAGAAGACGAUGAGAGGAUUACAAAACUGAAGCCCGGCUGUGCUACGGGAUGAGACCCUGUCUCAAAGGAUGGGAGAGAAAGAAAGGAAACCCACCACAAACAACAAGCCAGACUCUACACAAG